rnacentral:rRNA from 1 species
ACGGGAGGCAGCAGUGGGGAAUAUUGCACAAUGGGCGAAAGCCUGAUGCAGCGACGCCGCGUGAGUGAAGAAGUUAUUCGUAAUGUAAAGCUCUAUCAGCAGGGAAGAAAAUGACGGUACCUGACUAAGAAGCCCCGGCUAACUACGUGCCAGCAGCCGCGGUAGUACGUAGGGGGCAAGCGUUAUCCGGAUUUACUGGGUGUAAAGGGAGCGUAGACGGCAAAGCAAGUCUGAAGUGAAAUCCCGGGGCUCAACCCUGGAACUGCUUUGGAAACUGUUUAGCUAGAGUGCAGGAGAGGUAAGUGGAAUUCCUAGUGUAGCGGUGAAAUGCGUAGAUAUUAGGAGGAACACCAGUGGCGAAGGCGGCUUACUGGACUGUAACUGACGUUGAGGCUCGAAAGCGUGGGGAGCAAACAGGAUUAGAUACCCUGGUA